ACCCAAGAUGCAGCGCAAAGCUCCCUGAUGCAUCACCAGAAUUCUGCCGAAAUGUUGAUGUUUUAACAGUUAUAUUCAAAGGAUUAUGCAUAAAGGGGGCUUUUAGUCUCCCCGUUUUGGUGGCAGUCCCCACAAAGACCUCUAAAGUUUAGGAGGCACAUGCAUAAAAAUGCAUGUAUUGGUGAUAACAACAUUGAAGAUUGCAUGAUCAUAGUAGGGGGAAUUGCUUGCAGAAAUGUGUAUAUGGGGCAAUCCUAUCCAAGAGUUUACCUCACCUCCCUGCACCAGAAGUGGGGUAAUAGUUAAAUAUUGGCUCCUGCCUUUAUGUCCGCCCCCCCCACAAUUGAAUUUUGUCAGUGCGGGAGGUGUGCCAGGGAGGAGGGAUUGAACCCAUCUUCCCUCAUGCAAUUUGGUUGUGUAUGACUCUGUUGCUGUGGAUCUCUAUUGAUCUUACAUACAAAGCUCAAAGGCUGUGUCCCAUUGAAUCCCUUCACAAAGGGAAUGAACAUAAGAAACAGUAUUGGUAAAACAUAAUGAAAUGAAACUAGAAAGAUAAAGCCAAAUUCAUGUUCCAGACUCAUGCUGUUUUCAUCUUUGUAGGUCAACUGUGCUGCAAAAAUCAAAAUUUAUACACAGUUGUGUAGGGCGAGGAGAUACAGGGGGGGAAAAGCUUGGUGAAUGAAGUUAAAGGAAAAUGGAUAGUAAAUGGAUCUAUAUUGUGAAACAAAAAGUACCACCUGGGUCAAGCUGUUGUUUCAUCUACAGCAGCUUGACCCAAAAAACAGUUCUUACCCAGGUUCUGGGAAAGCUUGGAUGUGUGAGUGUUUAAUAUGUGUAUGAAAAAUAAUAAUGAAUGAUGAAACAGAGUUUUACUGUGUUUGACUGUAAACUCCUAGGACCUAGAACAUAAAUGUUUGCAAUACAGUUUGUUUGCCUUUAACACACACACACAGACACACACACAGAGAGAGAGAGGGAUGCAGAUGACAUUUAGGGUGGUAGAAAAGACAAAAACAAAGCUUGAACAAACUGUCAGGUUCAUUGACCUUAUCUACCUUACAGUACUAAAAACCUAAAUAAAUACACAGAGACCUGGGCAGGUCAUGGCAAGAGAACUGACUUGCCUCGCUUACCUUGGUCUGUUUGAAAACUGGCUCAGUGAAUCUUCAGGAAACAAGGCAAAGCCUGCAAAGAGCGUUUCUUAAGCUGGGUUUGUAGACAGUGGUGAAUUCUUAGCACUCAUGAAACCACCAGAACACAAGAACUUUGAUGUCCAUUGGAGGGACAUCAAAGGCGUUCUAAAGCAGAUAUUGCCACUGGUAGCCAUAGGAACUAAGGCUGCAGCUAAAAGUGGCUUUUCAGAUUUGCAAUCCAAAUAUACGUGCAUUAUUGAAUCAAAAUGGACAACUCCAUAACUUUCGUUGUCAAAAUUGGCUGGAACAUUUAUCUAGUUUUCUCAGAGCCUGGCGGCCUCAUAGCUCCCUUAUGCCCAAGAUACCUGGAGCCUGGAUUUGUAAACAGGACUCGGGGACUGUGUAGCUCACUUGGCCUGAUUCCUCUGGAAUUGCAGUAGAUUUUGUUGAGCACCUAUGCAAAUCCCACAGCAUGUUCUGCAUCUGCAGACAACCAAACCCUACCACCAGAUUUGGAAGGGCAUUCAGUGUCAUUUUGAUUCAGCAUGUGACCGGUCAUGUGUUCCUCUUAGUUGCAUGCAUGGGCUCACAAGCAUUCUGAUGCUUUUCACUGCAAUUCAUGUACCGCAUCCUCAUCUUUGACUGUUCAAAGUGGCAUCACACUUUCAGUUCUAUACAAACUUGAUUUAGAGUAAGCUCCAUUGACUUCAGUAGGGUUUAGUUUUGAGUAAUGAGCAUAGCUUUGGUUUGCCCUACCUUCUGGAUCCUGAAAUAGCCUUAAAGAUUUCCCAGCUUCUUUCUUUUUCAAGCCCAGAGAUGAUCCGAUUCAUUAGAAUAACCAGAGAAGAAGUUUUCAAGGAAGGAGAGAGGAAGCGAAUUUUGAGGCAAAAAUAACAUAAUAUCUCAAAUUUUUACUGCUCUGCAUUGAAAUAAUACAUGAGACAACAUGCUGGUUAAAGCCAGAGCUUUAUAGAUAAAGGUCACAUGUUGAACGUUUGCAUAAAUUUGCCGCGCAGAUUGCUUUGACAUGUCACAUUCUGUAAACGCAGGCUCUCCUGUGGUGCUUUAGAGCAGCAGAUACACAUGAUCAACCUGUACAGCCAUAGAGCAUCAUUUGCCUCUUGUGAGAUGGUUCACUUAAAAGCACAAUGCAUUUCCAUUGAACUGAGAGUAGAGGAUUUUUCUUCCUUUUACUUAUUGGCCUUUCUAAGGCAGAACUGCUUUGCCUAGCCAAAGAUACUAUUUUCUUCAUAUGCGGUUCAAGGGUAUGCACAUGGGCUUUCAACAGUGUCAGACUCCAGUGCCCUUGCUCUCCCUCUGCUUAUUCAGCACCCAUUUCCCUAACAUUUUGAGAGCUUGUAGGAGAUGAUGUGAGUGAGAUUACUUGGAACACACAAGAUGCACCAACCAGACCAACCAAAUAUGGUAUAGAAAUUUGUUGUUUUAUCCUUCUUUCAUUCCAAGGAGCUGAAAGCAUCAUUUUAGCCAUCGCAGCCUUAUGGCACAUUUGGCCAAAUACUGUGAUUUGUCGAGAGCUUCCUCAGUGUGCAUGAAGGACAACCACACGUCCCUUUUGCCCUGCUCUUUCCAUUCACAGGUUUGCACUUUAAAGCUCUGUGUCUGAACCCCCGCCCCCUUUCCCCUGUGAAAACUCGCUCUUUAAAGCUGAAUUGGAGCAAAUGACUAUUUGGGUUUUUAAUGGAUUACCAUUUGGUCCGAUUCAGCUUUAAAGAGUGACGUAUCGUGGAGCAAAAAAAGGGAGGGGGCUGAGAUACAGAGCUUUAAAGUGUGGGUCAUGCCUGGAAAGCGCUGAGAAAAGGUGUGGCUAAGCCCUCAGUCCUGUGAAUGUUAUCUCAUAGAACUCAAUAAGACAUACUUCUGAGGUGAUAUGAAUAGGACUGAGAAGUUAUUCUCUUUCUACACAUGCACAUAGAAAAUACCCAUUUUGUUUAGUAGCAAGGGUUGGGAGGGGAUUAAUGACAAGUGGAUGGUGAAGAGCUGGAUUCAACUAUAGAUUAUCUUAAAGGCAUCAUUGCAUCCAGUGGCUGUGGGUUCAGUUUUUUAAAGCUAGUAUUUUCAUGGGGGGAGUGGGAAUCCCCCACUGGUGCCAAUGGGUAAUUUCCUUCGAAAUUAAGAAAAGCACCAGCUUCUGAAAAUGAAUUUUCCUAGGACCGCAGUGGAGGAGAAAAAAGUUAACUGCUCCUCUCUGUAUCUCUUAUGAUUCCAUUAACUGACAUUCACCCCUCAGCUGAUGUGAUUUGUAUUUUUAUAAAAUAGAAAAUCUGCACACUAGAUGAUGCAAAGGGACACUUAAUAUGUAGCUUGGUCCUCAGCUGCAUAGUGUCUUCCGCCUCUAGUUAAGGAUUGGCACUGUAACUGUAUUUGUAGAGGGGGGUGUGUGUGUGUGUGUGUGUGUGUGUGUUUAAAUUAAUAAAAUCAUUUCUGGGUUAGGGAUCAAUUCCAGAGAAAGAAAGGUGUUUGUGGGAGAUGGCAGUGUGAGAGCCUAAUUGAACAAGACUGAAGUUCCAGGGAUUUGUAAGUGGAACAGGUGAAAAUGGCAGUCGUGAUAAUUUAAUACUAAUUACUUCCAUCCUAGCAACUGUCUGCCAGGUGCUCUAAAGAACAAGAAAAGAGAGCUAGGCACGUACAGAUCCCUUGCCCAGCUUUUCCUGACAGGACAGCGGGGGUAUAGGAUCGCUUUAGCAAAACCUUGGGGCCUAUGUUGUGAGUUUUAUUUUUGCUCACUUUGUCCAUCAUUUCAUUUAUUCAUUUAUUUGCUUCCUUGCUUCCUUAGUUACAUUUAUAUCAUGCCUUUCGGUCUAAGACCAUUUGCUGUCACGUUUCAUAAAGCAGAUGAAAAGAAAUUAAAAUUACCUAUGUGAAGCAACACCACAACUGGAUCAACAUACACUAUACUGGGGGAGGGGGGAGAUGACAUCACAGUGGGAGCAUGAAAGCAGAAAUGGAGGCACAAUAAUAAAUAAAUGCUAUGUUAGUUCAUUAGUCCUAUUCUAUAAAAAAGGGGCCACCAAGCAGAGAAAGGUCGGCCCUUGUAGUCCCCGUGAUUACUUUGUGAUAUUAAUGAGAAUUUUGGUUUGAUUUCUGUCAUUCUGUGACUUGUUUUCAUGUUGCCUCAAUGCAAAGCCUUAACACAAAACUCUUGCAGUAGAAGAUCCUCAGGGCAUAAGAGAAGAAAAGAGGCAAUGUAUCUUUGUAUGUAAAUAAUGUACCCUGAAGGAAGUCUCUCAUUAGAAGAGCAUCCAUGGAAACAUGGCAUUGAACAGGAAGUAAAACCCCAGCAGCCAAGUUGAAGAAACUCCUCUUACCUUUGCCACACAUCUUAAGAGGCUUCAGUCAAUAAGCACGGCUGCUUUCCACAAGCUUUGACUCCAGCAAGACGGAGUGCAGAGCAGAUUGUAGCCAUGUCUGCCAAGUAGGUGGCAGAAUAUUGCUAUGGGGAAGGUGACUCAUCCUUGCAUAAGAGUCAGCCCAUGUUCAGCAUUCAGCAGCAGCGCAGUUGGGUGUCAGCUGAUAAAUACUGGGCACAAAGAAGUACAAUAUCACUGCUACAAUGUUCUCUUUAAAGCCCAGCGUAGCAGAGUGACUGGAGCUUUGGGCUUGGAUGUGAGAACCCUCCAUUCAUUUUGCUGUUCAGCUGAAGCACACUGGGGCAGCCCUGGGCAAGCCAUGGUUUCCUGCCCUUCUCUGGUUGUGAUAGCUAAAACGCUGUUUCAGUGCUAAGGAAGGAAGGAAGGAAGGAAAAAACAAACAAGUGUCUCUGAUAUAUAAUCCUCUAUUCCUUCAUCUCCUACAAGUUCUCCAAAAAAUAAGCAGAGGAAGAUCUGUGGCAUGUGGGGUUGGCGCUGUUGGAAGCCCAUGGAUGAGCCCUGGGAUGUCCUAGCUUUGCUGCUCCAUCUCCCCUUUCUUGUUGUUGCCUGGUGAAGUGUUGUUGCUCAGGGAUACAGCAUCUGCUUUGCAUUCAAAGGAUCCCAGUUUCAGUCCCCAACAUUGCCAGGAAGUGCUGGGAGAGAACCCUGGAUUUCAGAAUCCAGUAACAGAAUUUUUAGAUCAGAAUUCAGAAUUGAUAUACCUGUAUUGUUGUUGUUGUUGUUGUUGUUAAUUUAAAAAAAACCAAAGCCUGAAUACCAGGAAUUCAAAGUAGCGCUUCUGUGAUCACUCUAUCAGUACAAGCACUUUUUGCCCUCCAUGUUCUGUUCUGGGGGUGCGACUAACCCCUGCAACCUAAUUGGGAUGUGUGCAGGGGUUGUAUGGGGCAAGGAGAGGGAAGGGGAAAGCCCUAUAGCACAAGUCCUUGCAUGGGCCCCAUUAGAGGAAUCCACCCCCAUUUUGGGCAUUUUGGGGGCAUUUUGAUGACAAAGCUUGGAGCAGCCUCACUGAUUCUGUGCUGCCAAGGACAAUGAAAGAGCUAAAGAUUAUAGCAUGACAAUUAGACCUUCUCGAUCUAUUUCCAGGCCCAUGCAAAAAAACAAAACGAAAAACCAAAUCCAAUGGUGUGUCCAACUUCGCAUAUCAGAUCAUGUAAACAAAACUAUCAUGGAUCUGCAGUCAGUGCCCCAAUCCUUUCUAUAAUGCAAAAAGCUCUGUGCCAUACACACUGACUGGCCAGUGUUCUCCAGGGUUUGAGGCAAAAGUCUCUCCUAGCCCUAACUGGAGAUAUUGGGGUUGGGCCUAGGACCUUCCGCAUGCAAAGCCGAUGCUAUGGCCCUUCUCCUAGUUCAAAGAUGCCCUACAAGGAAUUGAUUUGGCUCAACACAGUUCAGGUCAUGUGAUCUGUUCCAGGGAUAAUUGAACCCGUGUUGUUUACUAUCUCAUCACAAUGGAAACCUGACAAAUUGUGCUUUUGUUUAUUUUCUCCACGCUCCCCAGGCGAUGUGCAGGGCAGCCUUCCCGAACUUGGCACCUUCCAGAUGUCUUAGACUACAGCUCCCAUCAUCCCUGACCAUUGGUCUAGCUGGCUGGGACUGAUGGGAGUUGGUUCUCAACAAGAUUUGGAGGGCACCAGAUUUGGGAAGGCUGAGGAUGUAUUAUUCUAUCACAGUUCUGGCAUGGACUGAAAUGUCCUAAGCGCUGAACUGUGAAAGGGAAGAAAAACUGUUAGCCUCUAGGACAAAAUGGCAAUAUUUAAAUGCAUCUCUGGUGCAUUGCCUGUGAACAAACAUGAAACCUUAAAUAGCAUACUUAAGAAAGGUUUCAUCUUUGUUUUUCAAGAGAAUGGCCAUAGGAGCUCCUGCUGCAAUGAUUCUAUGAGCCAACUGGAUCAGUUAAGCACGCUCCCCACCGCCAUCAAUUCUGGUUUUGUCGCUUUGUAGGGAUAUAAAAGAGGAACUGAGAGCAAAAGUACCAGUUGUGCUUUUCCAAGCAGAGCCACGAUGAAAGUGGUUUAACGGGGUUCAGGCGGAGAGGGUGUGGCAGCUUGCCAGUGUUUAAGCCAAAGCAAACUGCUGUCAGCAUGGAAAUGGCUGAAGAGGCUGACCUCAUGCCUCCCAGGAUUAAGCUGAAAUCUUGCUGGCGCCAUGGUGGGAAUAUUGAAAGGAGCUGUAAUCCUGCCAGUUUGAUUGAGCCAAACUGGCCGGGCCCAUGUGCACAAUCAGCAGCUGAAUGGGAUCUCUCCCCCUGCAUGCCCCAAUAUUAACAAAUGAGUAGAAGCUGCUUAGGGCUGUAAGAAAAAAGGAUGCAGGCAGCCAGGGAAGCGGGGGGUGGGGGUGGGGGGAAGCCAAAUUGCCCGCUACCUGGAAGAGCGCAAUUGUGUGAAGGCUGCUGUUAUGAAAUUGCUGCACCAGAAUAAUAGGCGAAUUGUUCCAAUGCCUUCCACUUCUCCUGUGGAUUAACUGACUUUACAUUAUUUCCCAGUGAUACACGCUGUAUUAUUUAUUGCCAUAAUCAGUAAGAUCCCAAUGCCAUAAAUAACUCGGAUCCGAUGAUGUGACUUUGCUUUAUGGACCCACAUUAAUGGUUUAAAUUAGAUUUCAUAGGAAGCAGCUAUUGCUUUGUGUCUUCCACGAAGAUGCUCAGAUUUCCUUGCAUCUCAACUCCAGCCCUCUGUCUGUGAAAUGUUUUUUUUUUAUAGAGAAAGGAGCAGAAAUCCUAAAAAAUAUUGAGUUGUGUGAGUACAAUCAACCAAGGGAAGUGUAUUACAAGAGGGAGGAUCACAGACCAUUUAUGUUAUGGAGAGCCACUUCCCUCCAAGGAUACAAAUGGGUGACCUUUACUUGCAGCGUUAAAUGCCCAGGGGUCAUUUGUGCAAGACACAGGGAGCUUUAACUGGAACAGGCCAAUCUCAUAAUGGCUGUGUCAGCCGCAGCAGUGCAAGAACAGGCUUGUGCUGCAGCAGUUAAAAUAGCAUUUUAUGUGAUGUUAAUGGUGCAGAGUCACACAGAUAUGCCCUGCUUGCCAAAUACAUCACCCCCCAAAGACAUCUUGGCACCACAUGUUGCUGGCACAAAGGGUUAUAGCUAGGGAUGGAUGUGGGAGAGGGCUUUCUUCCCCAGGGAAACUCCAGACCCAUUCCUUGAAUUUUCAGCUCUCAGUGAUCUGGGUCCUCUGAAGAUCCAUUUAUUUGAGCAGACCUUUAGAGGAUAUCAAUGGUUGACCUGGUUGUGGUAUUGCUGUUAUUGCUUCUGCUGGUUUCUUCUUGUUGUUCUGUUCUUCUGUUUUGAUUUGUGGCUGAUAUUGUCAUUCCCGUUGUGUUUUAUUAUACCCUGCCCUGGGAUCACUACUGCGAUGAAGCGGGUGGGGAAUAGCCAUGUCUUUUCAAUAAGCCGGUCAGUCGGUAAUAGUGGGAAAGGAAUUCUGAGGGUUCCAACAGUGCCUGAAAAUGAAAGGCACCGAGGCUCAGAUUAAGUCGGCAGCCAUGCUUUGCUGCUCUUCUCAUCCCAGCCACUGUAGGCUCUAAAGGGGGGGGGGGGGGAAUUGGGUCCUAGUGCUGGAAUAAAGCUGAGGAUUUAUUCCCUUGAAUCAUUCCUAGAAAUUGUGGACCUUGAUGCCAGUGCUACUACAUGUUAGAGAAGAAAAUCAGAGACAGAGCUAUACGGGCAAUACCCAGCUUGGGCCACCACAUCAUAAUAUAAUGAUGAUGAUGACAAGAAUGAUAUUUAUAUGCCACCCGUCGGACUGGGGUGUCCAAGCCACCCUGGGCGGUUUCCAAAGAUUAAAACACAGUAAGACACCAAACAUUAAAAACUUCCCUAUACAACGCUGCCUUCAGAUAUCUUAUAAAAGUCAGAUGGCUGUUUAUUUCCUUGACAUCUGGUGGGAGGGCGUUCCGCAGGGUGGGCACAACUGCUGAGAAGGCCCUCUGCCUCACUUCUUGCAGUGAGAGAACCACCAGAAGGCCCUUAGCGGUGGCCCUCAGUGUCUGGGCUGAAUGAUGGAGGUGGAGAUGCUCCUUCAGGAAUGCAGGGUUCAAAGCUGUUUAAUUAAUCAACCUGGCCCAAGCAAAAAGACAAAUCACAAGGGGGCAGAAAGGUGCCUACCAUGAUAUCCUAGGGGAUGAAACUUUCCCUCAUGAUAUUGCAUAAGUCUAGUUAAAAUUUCAGAAGGCACCUGUCCUCAAAUUCGUCUACGGUGUGAGUGGAAGGCAAUUUUGUAUUCUUUUGUGAAGCUGUAAAGUAUGUACACCUUCUGGUUCUCUCACAGUAUGUGUCAGUCUCUGAAAAUAUAUAAAGC